GUUGGGGGAAGACAGGGAAGAGCAAGCACUGGUGCACAUAUGGGGAGGAGGUACUUCUUAAACUUGCUUUUUAAUUUAGUGCAUGUUGCCUGGAGGUUAGGAUAUGUGAGAACAGCUGUAGAAGUAAGAGGAAAUGUAAAGGUAAGUUCAUGGAAUGGACA